rnacentral:rRNA from 1 species
CAGCUCGUGUCGUGAGAUGUUGGGUUAAGUCCCGCAACGAGCGCAACCUUGUCAUUAGUUGCCAUCAUUUGGUUGGGCACUCUAAUGAGACUGCCGGUGACAAACCGGAGGAAAGGUGGGGAUGACGUCAAGUCCUCAUGGCCCUUAUGGGUAGGGCUUCACACGUCAUACAAUGGUCGGUACAGAGGGUUGCCAACCCGCGAGGGGGAGCUAAUCCCACAAAGCCGAAUCGUAGUCCGGAUCGCAGUCUGCAACUCGACUGCGUGAAGUCGGAAUCGCUAGUAAUCGUGGAUCAGCAUGUCACGGUGAAUACGUUCCCGGGUCUU